GGCCCGUUGGUCAAGCGGUUAAGACAUCGCCCUUUCACGGCGAUAACGGGAGUUCGAUUCUCCCACGGGUCACCA
rnacentral:tRNA from 1 species